rnacentral:ncRNA from 1 species
AUAACUGUUUGAACUGAUCCUUUACCAAAGCUUGUGGUGCCAAGUAUUAAUGCUCUUUGAUGAUCCUGAAGUGCACCUGCGACAAUUUCUGACGCUGACGCUGAGCCCCCAUUAAUAAGCACGAUUAACGGUUCAUCAUAGCUAACGUCUGUAUUGCUGGCAAAGUAUGACCUUGCCGAAUGAGCAAUCCUACCCUCAGUGUAAACAAUUAAUCCUUGUUCAAUAAAUGCGUCAGUUACCUCAACGGCGCUCUGCAAAAUACCGCCAGGGUUGUUACGCA